rnacentral:ncRNA from 1 species
CCAGAAGAGGAGCGUUUACCAGGUAGUUAUUGUGAAGAGAUCAAACUCUAGAGAGCAGUAAUGAGGGGGGAAAACGCCGAGGUAAUUGUAUUUUUGAUAAUGCAAUUAUCGGUUGUAGUCACUAAGCAUAAUAUGCGAGUGCUAGGUUGAAUCCUUGCAACUGUCACCUAUUGGGUGGAGAGCUUCUGG